rnacentral:rRNA from 1 species
GAAGGCCUUCGGGUUGUAAGACUCUUUCGACAGGGAAGAUAAUGACGGUACCUGUAGAAGAAGCUGCGGCUAACUACGUGCCAGCAGCCGCGGUAAUACGUAGGCGGCAAGCGUUGUUCGGAAUUACUGGGCGUAAAGGGUGCGUAGGCGGUUUUCUAAGUCUGGUGUGAAAUCUCCCGGCUCAACUGGGAGGGUGCGCCGAAUACUGGAGGGCUAGAGUGUGGGAGAGGAAAGUGGAAUUCCUGGUGUAGCGGUGAAAUGCGUAGAUAUCAGGAGGAACACCUGUGGUGUAAACGGCUUUCUGGACCAUUACUGACGCUGAGGCACGAAAGCGUGGGUAGCAAACAGGAUUAGAUACCCUGGUAGUCCACGCCCUAAACGAUGCAUACUUGGUGUGGGCGAUUCAUUUUCUUCGUGCCGGAGCUAACGCGUUAAAUAUGCCCCCUGGGGAGUACAGUCGCAAGGCUGAAACUCAAAGGAAUUGACGG